rnacentral:rRNA from 1 species
GACGAACGCUGGCGGCGUGCUUAACACAUGCAAGUCGAGCGGUAAGGCCCUUUCGGGGGUACACGAGCGGCGAACGGGUGAGUAACACGUGGGUGACCUGCCCUCAGCUCUGGGAUAAGCCUGGGAAACCGGGCCUAAUACUGGAUAUGACUCCAUGACGCAUGUUGUGGGGUGGAAAGCCUUGUGCGGCUGAGGAUGGGCCCGCGGCCUAUCAGCUUGUUGGUGGGGUGAUGGCCUACCAAGGCGACGACGGGUAGCCGGCCUGAGAGGGCGACCGGCCACACUGGGACUGAGACACGGCCCAGACUCCUACGGGAGGCAGCAGUGGGGAAUCUUGCGCAAUGGGCGAAAGCCUGACGCAGCGACGCCGCGUGAGGGAUGACGGCCUCGG